UGGAGAGUUUGAUCCUGGCUCAGGAUGAACGCUAGCGGCAGGCCUAAUACAUGCAAGUCGAACGAUAUCAAGGGGCUUGCUCCUUGAGAAAGUGGCGCACGGGUGCGUAACGCGUAUGCAACCUACCUUCAUCUGGGGGAUAGCCCGGAGAAAUCCGGAUUAAUACCGCAUAAAAUCACAGUACGGCAUUGUACAAUGAUCAAACAUUCAUGGGAUGAGGAUGGGCAUGCGUGUCAUUAGCUAGUUGGCGGGGUAACGGCCCACCAAGGCGACGAUGACUAGGGGAUCUGAGAGGAUGGCCCCCCACACUGGUACUGAGACACGGACCAGACUCCUACGGGAGGCAGCAGUAAGGAAUAUUGGUCAAUGGAGGCAACUCUGAACCAGCCAUGCCGCGUGCAGGAAGACUGCCCUAUGGGUUGUAAACUGCUUUUAUCCGGGAAUAAACCUAUCUACGUGUAGAUAGCUGAAUGUACCGGAAGAAUAAGGAUCGGCUAACUCCGUGCCAGCAGCCGCGGUAAUACGGAGGAUCCAAGCGUUAUCCGGAUUUAUUGGGUUUAAAGGGUGCGUAGGCGGCCUGUUAAGUCAGGGGUGAAAGACGGUAGCUCAACUAUCGCAGUGCCCUUGAUACUGACGGGCUUGAAUAGACUAGAGGUAGGCGGAAUGAGACAAGUAGCGGUGAAAUGCAUAGAUAUGUCUCAGAACACCGAUUGCGAAGGCAGCUUACUAUGGUCUGAUUGACGCUGAGGCACGAAAGCGUGGGGAUCAAACAGGAUUAGAUACCCUGGUAGUCCACGCCCUAAACGAUGAACACUCGCUGUUGGCGAUACACAGUCAGCGGCUAAGCGAAAGCGUUAAGUGUUCCACCUGGGGAGUACGGUCGCAAGAUUGAAACUCAAAGGAAUUGACGGGGGCCCGCACAAGCGGAGGAGCAUGUGGUUUAAUUCGAUGAUACGCGAGGAACCUUACCCGGGCUUGAAAGUUAGUGAAGGUAGCAGAGAUGCUACCGUCCGCAAGGACACGAAACUAGGUGCUGCAUGGCUGUCGUCAGCUCGUGCCGUGAGGUGUUGGGUUAAGUCCCGCAACGAGCGCAACCCCUAUGUUUAGUUGCCAGCACGUCA
rnacentral:rRNA from 1 species